ACCUCCCCUACCAGCCAACGGGAUCCUCGGGCACCCGCAGAACUGUCUCCUCAUUGGACGGUUCAGACGUCUGUUAAUGCUGGACAGCGCACUCGGCGAUGUGACGCUUCUAGCCCAGUUGCUGGUUCGAGCUGAAUACCUGACGAGGAAGAAACAUUUAAAAGAGUGUUGCAUGGCCAAAAAUAACCUCUACUGCGUUGUCAAAGGCUCCCUGCUUUAGUCUUGAGGAUCUCAUGUAACAACACAUGGAUUUCAACUCCUGAAGAGGUUGCCUGCUGUGAGUGAUGUACCUUGGGAAAGCUAACCGUGCCGUCCAACCACAGCUCCUGUCUACCUGGAUGUGAUCUUGUUUCCCCUCCCAAAUGAAGGCGCUGCUUCCACGACUAGAGCCAUCCAGAACCACGGGAGAUUUGAAUGGCAUUUGUCUAUGACCUUCAGGCAGGUCAUGACUGUGAAUGAGAAAUCUAAUAAAGUAAUAAUAAGAUCACAUGGCGGCCUGUCGUGCACCAGUGACCUGCGUGCUUCAGGUAGUGACGAGGACAAGGCGGUGGAAGGGGACGUGGGUUUUUUUGGGGGGAAAAGUCUGGGCUUGGCAAUUUUAACAGGAGCUGACAGCAUUUUAUCAUCUCCAAAUCUUAUUAAAAUCUGUUCGUAUCAGGAAUAAUAUGAUGCAUUCUUUUUUUUUUUUUACAUUUAUUUGUUGUUUAGACUAGGGAAUACAUAGAUACGGCCAUUUUUGUGUUUUCAUACUUUCAUAAAUGUUUUGAGAUUAUGUAUAGUUGGCAUUUGCCAAAGCAAUAUUGUAAUGAAAGCAAUAUAAAUGGCUGUGCGUUUGGACAACAACAGACACUACAGUCAAUAAAGACAAAUAAAAGUGUGACCCGGCCAGGUUCAUUUGCUC
ensembl:lncRNA